rnacentral:rRNA from 1 species
AACGCUGGCGGCGUGCCUAACACAUGCAAGUCGAACGGAGAAUUUACGCUGAUGAAGCUUCGGCAGAUUCUUGUAAAUUCUUAGUGGCGGACGGGUGAGUAACGCGUGGGCAACCUGCCUCAUACUGGGGGAUAACAGCUGGAAACGACUGUUAAUACCGCAUAAGCGCACGGUAUCGCAUGAUACAGUGUGAAAAACUCCGGUGGUAUGAGAUGGGCCCGCGUCAGAUUAGCCAGUUGGCAGGGUAACGGCCUACCAAAGCGACGAUCUGUAGCCGGCCUGAGAGGGCGGACGGCCACAUUGGGACUGAGACACGGCCCAAACUCCUACGGGAGGCAGCAGUGGGGGAUAUUGCACAAUGGAGGAAACUCUGAUGCAGCGACGCCGCGUGAGUGAAGAAGUAUUUCGGUAUGUAAAGCUCUAUCAGCAGGGAAGAAAGACUCGUAAGAGAGAUGACGGUACCUGACUAAGAAGCCCCGGCUAACUACGUGCCAGCAGCCGCGGUAAUACGUAGGGGGCAAGCGUUAUCCGGAUUUACUGGGUGUAAAGGGAGCGCAGACGGUCAAGCAAGUCUGAAGUGAAACCCCACGGCUCAACCGUGGGCUUGCUUUGGAAACUGUUUGACUAGAGUACUGGAGAGGUAAGCGGAAUUCCUAGUGUAGCGGUGAAAUGCGUAGAUAUUAGGAGGAACAUCGGUGGCGAAGGCGGC